GAACGAACGCUGGCGGCAUGCCUAACACCUGCAAGUCGAACGAUCCCUUCGGGGAUAGUGGCGCACGGGUGCGUAACGCGUGGGAACCUGCCCUUAGGUUCGGAAUAACUCAGAGAAAUUUGAGCUAAUACCGGAUAAUGUCUUCGGACCAAAGAUUUAUCGCCUUUGGAUGGGCCCGCGUUGGAUUAGCUAGUUGGUGGGGUAAAGGCCUACCAAGGCGACGAUCCAUAGCUGGUCUGAGAGGAUGAUCAGCCACACUGGGACUGAGACACGGCCCAGACUCCUACGGGAGGCAGCAGUGGGGAAUAUUGGACAAUGGGCGAAGGCCUGAUCCAGCAAUGCCGCGUGAGUGAUGAAGGCCUUAGGGUUGUAAAGCUCUUUUACCCGGGAUGAUAAUGACAGUACCGGGAGAAUAAGCCCCGGCUAACUCCGUG
rnacentral:rRNA from 1 species